rnacentral:rRNA from 1 species
AGUGAACGCUGGCGGUAGGCCUAACACAUGCAAGUCGAACGGCAGCACAGUAAGAGCUUGCUCUUACGGGUGGCGAGUGGCGGACGGGUGAGGAAUACAUCGGAAUCUACUUUUUCGUGGGGGAUAACGUAGGGAAACUUACGCUAAUACCGCCUACGACCUACGGGUGAAAGCAGGGGAUCUUCGGACCUUGCGCGAUUGAAUGAGCCGAUGUCGGAUUAGGUAGUUGGCGGGGUAAAGGCCCACCAAGGCGACGAUCCGUAGCUGGUCUGAGAGGAUGAUCAGCCACACUAGAACUGAGACACGGUCCAGACUCCUACGGGAGGCAGCAGUGGGGAAUAUUGGACAAUGGGCGCAAGCCUGAUCCAGCCAUACCGCGUGGGUGAAGAAGGCCUUCGGGUUGUAAAGCCCUUUUGUUGGGAAAGAAAAGCAGCAGGUUAAUACCCCGCUGUUCUGACGGUACCCAAAGAAUAAGCACCGGCUAACUUCGUG